GCUCUUUUUCUCACAUUUUGUUAUCUUCUGUUCAAGGGAUUGGGGGGCAGUCAGAGAAGAAGCUAUAGUCCUCAUCGUCGUAGCCAGAUUCAAACACGUGCAAGAAAGAGGUGGCAACAAUGGAGGAGAUACAGAUGAAUAAUGAAGGAACUAAGGUAACAUUCAAGAGCCUAGACACACCCAAGUAGCCAGAGACUGUUAUAGUUCCAUCUGCAAUCACUCAAGCUAGGGUUCCUGCUUCUGUUGAAAGAAGCCCUCCAUUGUAAGUUCCACGAGAAAGCCUAGACGACAUUACACGCGACAAGAGCGACAAGUUAACACCUUCAAGCACUUCCGCAGAUACAAAAGUGAUGAGUGCAGAGCCAACAUACUGAGGCACAGAGUAAGGAAUUCCAAUAUGGAAGCUUAGGAGAAUGCCAACCAAAACCAUGAUUUCAGAAGCCAACAGAACUUGCCUGCAAUAAAUUUAAAUAGCAUGUAUACCAUCCAUUUGUGGUAAACUCGGAGCUUAUUUUUUACCAUCAUGUCCACAUGAGCUCAAUGGGACCGUUAAUAUGCUUAUUUUCAUAUUUGAACUUACUUUUCUUCGAACAUUUUGCUGACGUAGGUUCCGACAAUUAUGUUUACUGGAAGCACUGUUAGCCCAAGACAUGCAAGAAAGAUGGCCACGCUAUUGGUUGACCAUAUAAAUUAAUACGCAGUGAUGACACUUCCUUCAGCAAGCAAUAUUUCAAUUGCAUAUUUAAGCAUAAAAUAAACAAAUAGUUGCACCUUCACAGAUAGUUUGAGUAACCUGUAUGCUGAUACAAUUGAGGUGACAGGCUUUCUAGUUUUCUCACCAGAAUCUUCCUACCUUGUUUUCAAUUUAUCAUGUUUUCAAUAUCCAGAUUUGUCUAUGUAUAUAUAUUUACUUUGUAUUUCUCUGUUUAGUUUUGUUGUUUUGUUAUUUGUAUUUACAUUGUAUUUCUCUGUUUUUAAGUUCUGGUUUUGAAGUAUAUUUCUUGUUUCCUACCUUGUUUUUACAGAUGGAUCAAAUCCAAAAUCUGAUAGCUUUUCCCAGACAGUGAAUGAAGAGAAGGCAAGAUUGAGAUCGUAUAUAGGUUCAAGGCUGCCAAGGUGUGAGAGGAGAUGUAACUCAUGCAAGAGUUGCGAAGCCAUUCAUAGGCAAAUUUG